rnacentral:tRNA from 1 species
GGACGCUUAGCUCAGUUGGGAGAGCAUUCACUGGUUCAAGCCCAGUAGCGUCCACCA